rnacentral:rRNA from 1 species
UUCGCAAUGCCCGAAAGGGUGACUAUGCGACGCCGCGUGUGCGAUGAAGGUUUUCGGAUUGUAAAGCACUGUCGACCGGGAGGAAUUUCCGGAGGUUGAAUAAACCUACGGGAUGACAGUACCGGUAGAGGAAGCCACGGCUAACUCCGUGCCAGCAGCCGCGGUAAGACGGAGGUGGCAAGCGUUGCUCGGAAUCACUGGGCAUAAAGGGCGCCUAGGCGGUGUGGCAAGUCGACUGUGAAAUCCCUCGGCUCAACCGAGGAAGUGCAGCCGAAACUGCCGCGCUGGAGGACGAGAGGGGAGAGUGGAACUCCUGGUGGAGCGGUGAAAUGCGUAGAUAUCAGGAGGAACGCCGGUGGCGAAAGCGACUCUCUGGCUCGUUCCUGACGCUGACUGCGCGAAAGCUAGGGGAGCGAACGGGAUUAGAUACCCCGGUAGUCCUAGCCGUAAACGAUGGGCACUAAGUAGAGGGGUUUU